rnacentral:rRNA from 1 species
UAGGGAAUCUUCCGCAAUGGACGCAAGUCUGACGGAGCAACGCCGCGUGAGUGAAGAAGGAUUUCGGUUCGUAAAACUCUGUUGUUAGAGAAGAACAGCGCAUAGAGUAACUGUUAUGCGUGUGACGGUAUCUAACCAGAAAGCCACGGCUAACUACGUGCCAGCAGCCGCGGUAAUACGUAGGUGGCAAGCGUUGUCCGGAUUUAUUGGGCGUAAAGCGAGCGCAGGCGGUCAAUUAAGUCUGAUGUGAAAGCCCCCGGCUCAACCGGGGAGGGUCAUUGGAAACUGGUUGACUUGAGUGCAGAAGAGGAGAGUGGAAUUCCCGGUGUAACGGUGGAAUGUGUAGAUAUCGGGAAGAACACCAAUGGCGAAGGCAGGUCUCUGGGCUGUUACUGACGCUGAGAAGCGAAAGCGUGGGGAGCGAACAGG